GCACCCGUGGCGCAGCGGUUAGCGUUGUUGUCCUCCAAUUUCCCAUCGCGGGUUCAACCCCCACUGGGGUCA